CCCUGGGAUAGCUCAGUUGGUAGAGCAGGAGACUCUUAAGCUCAGGGUUGUGGGUUUGAACCCCACAUUGGGCA